GGNUCAACCAUAGUGUGCUCUGGAAACUGUCUGACUUGAGUGCAGAAGGGGAGAGUGGAAUUCCAUGUGUAGCGGUGAAAUGCGUAGAUAUAUGGAGGAACACCAGUGGCGAAAGCGGCUCUCUGGUCUGUCACUGACGCUGAGGCUCGAAAGCGUGGGUAGCGAACAGGAUUAGAUACCCUGGUAGUCCACGCCGUAAACGAUGAGUGCUAGGUGUUAGGCCCUUUCCGGGGCUUAGUGCCGGAGCUAACGCAAUAAGCACUCCGCCUGGGGAGUACGACCGCAAGGUUGAAACUCAAAGGAAUUGACGGGGGCCCGCACAAGCGGUGGAGCAUGUGGUUUAAUUCGAAGCAACGCGAAGAACCUUACCAGGUCUUGACAUCCCGAUGCUAUUCUUAGAGAUAGGAAGUUACUUCGGUACAUCGGAGACAGGUGGUGCAUGGUUGUCGUCAGCUCGUGUCGUGAGAUGUUGGGUUAAGNNNNNNNACGAGCGCAACCCUUAUUGUUAGUUGCCAUCAUUAAGUUGGGCACUCUAGCGAGACUGCCGGUAAUAAACCGGAGGAAGGUGGGGAUGACGUCAAAUCAUCAUGCCCCUUAUGACCUGGGCUACACACGUGCUACAAUGGUCGGUACAACGAGUUGCGAGCCGGUGACGGCAAGCUAAUCUCUGAAAGCCGAUCUCAGUUCGGAUUGGAGGCUGCAACUCGCCUCCAUGAAGUCGGAAUCGCUAGUAAUCGCGGAUCAGCACGCCGCGGUGAAUACGUUCCCGGGCCU
rnacentral:rRNA from 1 species